rnacentral:rRNA from 1 species
AUCCUGGCUCAGAUUGAACGCUGGCGGCAUGUCUUACACAUGCAAGUCGAACGGCAGCGGACCUUCGGGUGCCGGCGAGUGGCGAACGGGUGAGUAAUAUAUCGGAACGUACCUUUCAGUGGGGGAUAACGUAGCGAAAGUUACGCUAAUACCGCAUAUUCUGUGAGCAGGAAAGCAGGGGAUCGCAAGACCUUGCGCUGAUUGAGCGGCCGAUAUCAGAUUAGCUAGUUGGUGAGGUAAAGGCUCACCAAGGCGACGAUCUGUAGCGGGUCUGAGAGGAUGAUCCGCCACACUGGAACUGAGACACGGUCCAGACUCCUACGGGAGGCAGCAGUGGGGAAUUUUGGACAAUGGGCGCAAGCCUGAUCCAGCCAUGCCGCGUGAGUGAAGAAGGCCUUCGGGUUGUAAAGCUCUUUCGGCCGGGAAGAAAUCGCACGGGUUAAUACCCUGUGUGGAUGACGGUACCGGAAUAAGAAGCACCGGCUAACUACGUG